AACGAACGCUGGCGGCAGGCCUAACACAUGCAAGUCGAGCGCCCAGCAAUGGGAGCGGCGCACGGGUGAGUAACACGUGGGAACGUGCCCUUUGGUUCGGAAUAACGCAGGGAAACUUGCGCUAAUACCGGAUAAGCCCUACGGGGGAAGAUUUAUCGCCAUUGGAGCGGCCCGCGUCUGAUUAGCUAGUUGGUGAGGUAACGGCCCACC
rnacentral:rRNA from 1 species